AUUGAACGCUGGCGGCAGGCUUAACACAUGCAAGUCGAGCGGAGUGAUGGUGCUCGCACUAUCACUUAGCGGCGGACGGGUGAGUAAUGCUUAGGAAUCUGCCAUUUAGUGGGGGACAACAUUCCGAAAGGAAUGCUAAUACCGCAUACGUCCUACGGGAGAAAGCAGGGGAUCUUCGGACCUUGCGCUAAAUGAUGAGCCUAAGUCGGAUUAGCUAGUUGGUGGGGUAAAGGCCUACCAAGGCGACGAUCUGUAGCGGGUCUGAGAGGAUGAUCCGCCACACUGGGACUGAGACACGGCCCAGACUCCUACGGGAGGCAGCAGUGGGGAAUAUUGGACAAUGGGCGGAAGCCUGAUCCAGCCACGCCGCGUGUGUGAAGAAGGCCUUUUGGUUGUAAAGCACUUUAAGCGAGGAGGAGGCUACUAGUACUAAUACUACUGGAUAGUGGACGUUACUCGCAGAAUAAGCACCGGCUAACUCUGUGCCAGCCGCCGCCGUAAAAC
rnacentral:rRNA from 1 species